ensembl:lncRNA
CUCUCUCUCUGUCCUGCGCCUCUCUCUCUCUCGCCUGCGCCUGUCUCUCGCCUGCGCCUCUCUCUCUCUCGCCUGCGCCUCUCUCUCUCUCGCCUGUGCCUCUCUCUCUCUCUCCCCUGCUCCUCUCUCUGUCUCUCGCCUGUGCCUCUCUCUCUCUCUCUGUCCUGCGCCUCUCUCUCUCUACUUCAUCUGCGCCUCUCUCUCUCUCGCCUGCGCCUCUCUCUCACCUGCGCCUCUCUCUCUCACCUGCCCCUCUCUCUCGCCUGCGCCUCUCUCUCUUUCUCUCUCGCCUGCCCCCUCUCUCUCUCUCUUCGCCUGCGCCUCUCUCUCCCUCACCUGCGCCUCUCUCUCUCUCCCCUGCGCCUCUCUCUCUUUCUCUCUCGCAUGCACCUCUGUCUAUCUCCCUCGUCUGCCCCUCUCUGUCUUUCUUUCCCCUGCGCCUCUCUCUCACCUGCGCCUCUCUCUCUCUCGCCUGCAUCUCUCUCUCUCGCCUGUGCCUCUCUCUCUCUCGCCUGCCCCUCUCUCUCGCCUGCGCCUCUCUCUCUCGCCUGCACCUCUCCCUCUUUCUCGCCCGUGCCCCUCUCUCUCUCUCCCUCACCUGCGCCUCUCUCUCUCUCGCCUGCGCCUCUCUCUCUUUCUCUCUCGCAUGCACCUCUGUCUAUCUCCCUCGCCUGCCCCUCUCUGUCUUUCUUUCCCCUGCACCUCUCUCUCACCUGCGCCUCUCUCUCUCUCGCCUGCACCUCUCUCUCUCUCGCCUGUGCCUCUCUCUCUCUCACUCUCCCCUGCAUCUCUCUCUCUCUCUCGCCUGUGCCUCUCUCUCUCUCUCGCUUGCGCCUCUCUCUCGCCUGUGCCUCUCUCUCUCUCUCUCUCGCCUGCACCUCUCUUUCUCUCGCCUGUGCCUCUCUCUCUCUCGCCUGCGCCUCUCUCUCGCCUGCCCCUCUCUCUCUCUCGCCUUUGCCUCUCUCUCUCUCUCCUGCUCCUCUCUCUCUCUCACUCUCCCCUGCAUCUCACUCUCUCGCCUGUGCCUCUCUCUCUCUUUCUCGCCUGCACCUCUCUCUCUCUCGCCUGCGCCUCUCUCUCUCUCCUGCCCCUCUCUCUCUCUCGCCUGCGCCUCUCUCUCUCUCCUGCCCCUCUCUCUCUCUCGACUGUGCCUCUCUCUCUCUCCCCUGCACCUCUGUCUCUCUCUCGCCUGCCCCUCUCUUUCUCGCCUGCAUCUCUCUCUCUCGCCUGCGCCUCUCUCUCUCGCCUGCCCCCCCUCUCGCCUGCCCCUCUCUCUCUCGCCUGUGCCUCUCUCUCUCUCCCCUGCACCUCUGUCUCUCUCUCGCCUGCCCCUCUCUUUCUCGCCUGCAUCUCUCUCUCUCUCACCUGCGCCUCUCUCUCUCUCUCGCCUGCGCCUCUCUCUCUCUUUCUUGCCUGCGCCUCUCUCUCCCCCCCCUCUCUCUCUCUCCUCGCCGGCCUCGUGCGGGGCCGCCUGAUGGAUUGCCGCACCAUUCAUCUAAAUUAUGUCACCGGCAAUAAGCAACUUGCUUAAUCCGCCUAACGAAGGGCCGGGUGGGCGAGCGCUGACACGUGCUUAACGCUGUCCUCCUCGCCGCCGCCGGCAGCCCCGUCCGCACCGCGCGGCCGGAAACGCCCUCGUGUUUACGGGCUUCCCGCGGGCUGUGCCGGGGCUGGAUCCGUGGGGCUGGCACUUCCAGCCAGCAGGGAUGCGAGAGGCGCCCGGCGCUGCCCAGCUCGCCCGCCUGCAUCCCAGCCUUGGCGCAGCCUGCUGCUUCCCGGGAUAAACUGCACCUGGUGCAG